rnacentral:lncRNA from 1 species
GGCCAAAUGAUAUUUGUUGGAACGGUUAAAAGAGUAUGUGAUGAAUGGGUUAUUAUGUGGUAAGAUAUGGUAUGUUUGAGAUGGUAUUGAUAGACAAUAACUUGAUUGAAUUGAUAGGUUGAAUUGAUGAUAUGUUUGGACAUUAAAUUGUAUAUACUUGUGGUACCAAUGAGGGUCCAUUGGUUAGGCACUUAUUAGGUUUGUUUUG